CCUACGGGAGGCAGCAGUGAGGAAUAUUGGUCAAUGGACGAGAGUCUGAACCAGCCAAGUAGCGUGAAGGAUGACUGCCCUAUGGGUUGUAAACUUCUUUUAUAAAGGAAUAAAACGAGGCACGUGUGCCUUUUUGCAUGUACUUUAUGAAUAAGGAUCGGCUAACUCCGUGCCAGCAGCCGCGGUAAUACGGAGGAUCCGAGCGUUAUCCGGGUUUAUUGGGGUUAAAGGGAGCGUAGAUGGGUUGUUAAGUCAGUUGUGAAAGUUUGCGGCUCAACCGUAAAAUUGCAAUUGAUACUGGCAGUCUUGAGUACAGUUGAGGUAGGCGGAAUUCGUGGUGUAGCGGUGAAAUGCUUAGAUAUCACGAAGAACCCCGAUUGCGAAGGCAGCUUACUAAACUGUAACUGACGCUGAGGUUCGAAAGCGUGGGUAGCAAACAGGAUUAGAUACCCCAGUAGUC
rnacentral:rRNA from 1 species